UACGUAGGGGGCAAGCGUUGUCCGGAUUCAUUGGGCGUAAAGAGCUCGUAGGCGGUUCGUACAGUCAGACGUGAAAUUCCCGGGCUCAACCUGGGGGCUGCGUUUGAUACGUACGGGCUUGAGUUCGGAAGAGGGUCGUGGAAUUCCCAGUGUAGAGGUGAAAUUCGUAGAUAUUGGGAAGAACACCGGUGGCGAAGGCGGCGACCUGGUCCGAUACUGACGCUGAGGCGCGAAAGCGUGGGGAGCAAACAGG
rnacentral:rRNA from 1 species